rnacentral:rRNA from 1 species
UACAGAGGUCUCAAGCGUUGUUCGGAUUCAUUGGGCGUAAAGGGCGCGUAGGCGGCCUGAUAAGUAGGGGGUGAAAUCCUGCGGCUUAACCGCAGGGCUGCCUUCUAAACUGUCAGGCUAGAGCACAGUAGAGGCAGGUGGAAUUCCCGGUGUAGCGGUGGAAUGCGUAGAGAUCGGGAAGAACAUCAGUGGCGAAGGCGGCCUGCUGGGCUGUUGCUGACGCUGAGGCGCGACAGCGUGGGGAGCAAACAGG